AUGUGCGAGAAUUUCUUGGGUUGUCGGCCACACUGGGGCCUCUUCAAACACAUCUUUACCUGUCGUUCUCAGUCGGUCAAAAAGGCCAAUCUGAGUGAUGAGAGGACACAUGUGAUCCAAAUGUGUGGGGGUCUUGGGAUCCAAAUGAGAGGAAAAAGCACUUUCCCAGCCAUGAUUCUUCCCGAGUCAGUCAGAGGGUGGCAGUCGACUAGGUUCUACUACAAAGACCAGCCGACUCCAGGUCAGUCGACUGGACUUCCCCCCUUUUCCAUGGCUCGAGUCGAGAAGCCCUCCGCCUUGAAAGUGACCCCGGAGGAGAAAGCGGAGGUGAAGGUGCUGGUUGGGCGAGUGGUCCAGCUCGUCCGUGAUGGCGUGACCGACAUGGAUCUAUUGGAGGUCUUCCUCAGGCGACGCAUUCAGCCAUUUCAAGCUCGUGACCAUCCGAUGUGGAUGUAUUCGGGCAUUGAUGAUUCCACUCGGAUCCACCCAGAAGAGGUCGACGAGGAUACGGUGGAGAAGUGGUUGAGGGGCAUCACUGGCAACAAAGAUAACCCCAGGGGGUCUAGGAGAGUCCCUCCACUCGACAACUCGUAUGAAACAGACAAGGCCCUUACUGAGAUGUACUCAAUGCCCAACGGAGAGCAGGAGCAGGACCCGGAAGGAGAGGCGAGCGGAGGCGACAACAUGGACUGGUGA
rnacentral:rRNA from 1 species